rnacentral:sRNA from 1 species
CUCCCUACGGUUCUUCUCAGGUCCGCCGCAACUCCUGAGUCCGUAGGGCGGCUGGUCCGGUCGCCGUGAGAGUGGCCUCUUCAACAUGCGCGCCGGACCAGCCACUCC